rnacentral:tRNA from 1 species
AAAUUUAGGUUCACACUUAAACCAAAGGGCCUUCAAAGCCCUAAACAGGGCACACCCCCUAAUUUCUG